AUUGAACGCUGGCGGCAGGCCUAACACAUGCAAGUCGAACGGUAACAGGAAGAUGCUUGCUUCUUUGCUGACGAGUGGCGGACGGGUGAGUUAUGUCUGGGAAACUUCCUGAUGGAGGGGGAUAACUACUGGAAACGGUUGCUACUACCGCAUAACGUCGCAAGACCAAAGAGGGGGACCUUCGGGCCUCUCGCCAUCGGCUGUGCCCAGAUGGGAUUAGCUAGUAGGUGGGGUAACGGCUCACCUAGGCGACGAUCCCUAGCUGGUCUGAGAGGAUGACCAGCCACACUGGAACUGAGACACGGUCCAGACUCCUACGGGAGGCAGCAGUGGGGAAUAUUGCACAAUGGGCGCAAGCCUGAUGCAGCCAUGCCGCGUGUAUGAAGAAGGCCUUCGGGUUGUAAAGUACUUUCAGCGGGGAGGAAGGGAGUAAAGUUAAUACCUUGACUCAUUGACGUUACCCGCAGAAGAAGCACCGGCUAACUCCGUG
rnacentral:rRNA from 1 species